rnacentral:rRNA from 1 species
UACAGAGGUCCCGAGCGUUGUUCGGAUUCACUGGGCGUAAAGGGUGCGUAGGUGGUGAGGUAAGUCGGAUGUGAAAACUGGAGGCUCAACCUUCAGAGGUCGACCGAAACCAUCUGGCUAGAGUCCGGGAGAGGAGAGUGGAAUUCCCGGUGUAGCGGUGAAAUGCGCAGAUAUCAGGAGGAAUACCGAUGGCGAAGGCAGGUCUCUGGGCCAUAACUGACGCUGAGAAGCGAAAGCAUGGGGAGCGAACAGG